AUUGAACGCUGGCGGCAUGCCUUACGCAUGCAAGUCGAGCGGUAACAGGUCUUCGGAUGCUGACGAGUGGCGAACGGGUGAGUAAUACAUCGGAACGUGCCUAGUAGUGGGGGAUAACUACUCGAAAGAGUGGCUAAUACCGCAUGAGAUCUACGGAUGAAAGCAGGGGAUCGCAAGACCUUGUGCUACUAGAGCGGCCGAUGGCAGAUUAGGUAGUUGGUGGGAUAAAAGCUUACCAAGCCGACGAUCUGUAGCUGGUCUGAGAGGACGAUCAGCCACACUGGGACUGGGACACGGCCCAGACUCCUACGGGAGGCAGCAGUGGGGAAUUUUGGACAAUGGGCGCAAGCCUGAUUCAGCAAUGCCGCGUGCAGGAUGAAGGCCUUCGGGUUGUAAACUGCUUUUGUACGGAACGAAAAGCCCUGGGUUAAUACCCUGGGGUCAUGACGGUACCGUAAGAAUAAGCACCGGCUAACUACGUGCCAGCCGCCGCAGUAACAC
rnacentral:rRNA from 1 species